UACGUAGGGGGCAAGCGUUGUCCGGAAUCAUUGGGCGUAAAGAGCGUGUAGGCGGCCAGAUAAGUCCGCUGUGAAAACUCGAGGCUCAACUUCGAGCUGCCGGUGGAAACUAUUUGGCUAGAGUCCGGAAGAGGAGAGUGGAAUUCCUGGUGUAGCGGUGAAAUGCGCAGAUAUCUGGAGGAACAUCGAUGGCGAAAGCAACCGUCUGGGCCUGAACUGACACUGAGACACGAAAGCGUGGGGAGCAAACAGG
rnacentral:rRNA from 1 species